rnacentral:rRNA from 1 species
GAUGAACGCUAGCGGCAGGCCUAACACAUGCAAGUCGAGGGGUAGAGGAAGCUUGCUUCCUUGAGACCGGCGCACGGGUGCGUAACGCGUAUGCAAUCUACCUUUUACAGAGGGAUAGCCCAGAGAAAUUUGGAUUAAUACCUCAUAGUAUUUUCGAAUGGCAUCAUUUGAUUAUUAAAGUUCCAACGGUAAAAGAUGAGCAUGCGUCCUAUUAGCUAGAUGGUAAGGUAACGGCUUACCAUGGCAACGAUAGGUAGGGGUCCUGAGAGGGAGAUCCCCCACACUGGUACUGAGACACGGACCAGACUACUACGGGAGGCAGCAGUGAGGAAUAUUGGACAAUGGGCGCAAGCCUGAUCCAGCCAUGCCGCGUGCAGGAAGACGCAUCUAUGGUGUGUAAACUGCUUUUGUACGGGAAGAAACACUCCCUCGUGAGGGAGCUUGACGGUACCGUAAGAAUAAGGAUCGGCUAACUCCGUGCCAGCAGCCGCAGUAAUAC